UUGGAUGUUACUCAUUGUGUAACUUUGACAUCUGGCCUCAAAUCAAGUAGGACUACCCGCUGAACUUAAGCAUAUCAAUAAGCGGAGGAAAAGAAACUAACAAGGAUUCCCCUAGUAACGGCGAGUGAAGCGGGAAGAGCUCAAAUUUGAAAUCUGGUGGCCUCAGGUCAUCCGAGUUGUAAUCUAUAGAAGUGUUUUCCGUGCUGGCUCAUGUACAAGUCCCUUGGAACAGGGCGUCAUAGAGGGUGAGAAUCCCGUCCUUGACAUGAACUACCAGUGCUCUGUGAUACAUUUUCAACGAGUCGAGUUGUUUGGGAAUGCAGCUCAAAAUGGGUGGUAAAUUCCAUCUAAAGCUAAAUAUUGGCGAGAGACCGAUAGCGAACAAGUACCGUGAGGGAAAGAUGAAAAGCACUUUGGAAAGAGAGUUAAACAGUAUGUGAAAUUGUUGAAAGGGAAACGAUUGAAGUCAGUCGUGCUCUUUGGAUUCAGCCGGUUCUGCCGGUGUACUUCCUUUGAGUGGGGUCAACAUCAGUUUUGAUCGCUGGAUAAAGGCUGGAGGAACGUAGUACCCUCGGGUAAACUUAUAGCCUCCUGUCACAUACAGUGGUUGGGACUGAGGAACGCAGCACGCCUUUAUGGCCGGGAUUCGUCCACGUACGUGCUUAGGAUGUUGACAUAAUGGC
rnacentral:rRNA from 1 species